rnacentral:rRNA from 1 species
GCAAAACGCGAAGAACCUUACCAGGGCUUGACAUGCUCCUGCAGAGCCGUGAAAGCGGUUGGCCUUCGAGGGUGGAGCACAGGUGCUGCAUGGCUGUCGUCAGCUCGUGUCGUGAGAUGUUGGGUUAAGUCCCGCAACGAGCGCAACCCCCGCGGCUAGUUGCCGAUGUUUCUAGCCAGACUGCCGGUAGCAAGCCGGAGGAAGGUGGGGAUGAUGUCAAGUCAGCAUGGCCCUUACGUCCUGGGCUACACGCACGCUACAAUGGCCGGUACAGAGCGCAGCGGAGCCAAAAGGCCGAGCGAACCGCAGAAAGCCGGUCACAGUACAGACUGGGGUCUGCAACUCGACCCCGUGAAGUCGGAGUCGCUAGUAAUCGCAGAUCAGCAACGCUGCGGUGAAUACGUUCCCGGGUCUUGUACACACCG